UAGGUUAAAGUCCGCUGGUUUGGGCGGCUAGUUGUUAAUUAGCGUUAUUUGCGGGAUCGAGGCCCGUUAGCCUAG
rnacentral:tRNA from 1 species